rnacentral:lncRNA from 1 species
CACCAGACAGGAACUGAAGCAGCACCUCCAUCGUUGGAGCCUGGCUACAAGGGACAGGGGAGGACUGGCUAGAGAAGAGGUGGCAGAAGGGAUCUGUGACUGACGAUCGUUCCUCACUUGGGACCAGCACAAGCCACCACCAACUUCAGGCAGGACUCCAGAGAAGACUCUUGCACAUCCUGAACGGCCAGCAAAGUUUCAAACCGGGCAAGCUGAUGGCCGGGCAGACCGGGGAGAUUAGCAUACGGGAGCCCUGCGGAGGGCAGGCAGUCUGGAAGUCCCAAAGAGCUGCCAUUUCAUGCAUAUGCAGCACUUUCCCAGAGCCAAAGGCAAUGGGACUGCAAUCACUUUUUUCUGUGUAUCUAUUCGAAGGUAGAAGCAGGUAUGCGGUUUCCUAAAGCUGCUGCCGAAACAGUGUAGAUAUGCCUAAUUUGGUAAAAAUAAACAGUAAGGAUUUCAAAGGACA